rnacentral:rRNA from 1 species
UACGGAGGGUCCAAGCGUUAUCCGGAUUUAUUGGGCUUAAAGGGUGCGUAGGCGGCCUAUUAAGUCAGGGGUGAAAGACGGUAGCUUAACUAUCGCAGUGCCCUUGAUACUGAUGGGCUUGAAUGUACUUGAGGUAGGCGGAAUGUGACAAGUAGCGGUGAAAUGCAUAGAUAUGUCACAGAACACCAAUUGCGAAGGCAGCUUACUAAAGUAUGAUUGACGCUGAGGCACGAAAGCGUGGGGAUCAAACAGG